CUAUAUAAAAAUGACCUCGAAAUAUCAAACGACUCCAAUUACAAUCUCGCUCCCAUCUACUCUCGGAAUCAUGAGAAUUCAGUUAUGCAGUGAUCAUAAGCAAAAAUUAGAGUUUGGGGUUUUUUCACAUAGUUCAAGACUUCAAACUGGGGUUUUAGGUUUGAGCAAGUGCAAUUCAAGAUCAGCCAGGUAUUUCCUUUUCCAUCUCCUAAUUUAGCGUUUUUGAACUACAAGUAAUUCUCUGCAAAGUUAGGGUUUAGGUUUUCUGUUUCUGCUCAGAUUGAUUCUUGUCAAAUUAGAGAUUAGGGUUCUGAACAACUAAUUUUGGGGGAAUAAUUUCUAAGGUAUACUUUUCAGUUUAGGUUAAUCCUUAAAGAAUGGAAGAAUCAAGAAAUGCACCGUAUUUUAAUGGGGAAGAUAGAAUCAGUAGGUUACCAGAUGCACUAAUUCAUCACAUCCUCUCUUUUAUUGAUACUAAAUAUGCUGUUCAAGCUAGUGUUUUGUCAAAAAGGUGGAUGGGUAUUUGGAAAUCUCUACCUUUUCUAAGAUUCGGCAGGAGGUCAUUUUCGCGUGGCAAAGAACAUGAUCAGAAGUUCAUAUGUUUUGUGACAUGGUAUGCAUUCUUCGUGAUGACUCUGAUAUCCAGAAAUUGGUUUUACUUUUGUACAAAAUUGAUGAACUUCAAGAAAUGACACAAAAUGUUAAUAGAUGGAUUGUUCACGCUGUUAGGCGUAAUGUUCAAGAAAUGACUAUACAAAUCGAUAAACUUCAUUCUCCGGCUUAUGAAAUUCCUCCUCAACUCCUAAACUGUCACUGAUGGAGUUGGUAAUGCACAUGUCUGGUGGCGAAUAUGCAGAUCUUAUUUUACCAAAAUCAAUGGGUUUACCUCGGCUAAAAUCUCUGUACCUUGGUGGAUUAACAAUCUCCAAUGUUGAACUAUCUAAAAGGCUCAUUUCGAGUUGUCCAGCUCUUGAAACGUUACAUAUAGCUGAUUGUGAUGUACGAACCUUGACUGUUGAAUCUCUCAGUCUAAAGAGGUUCACUUACGGACAUAAACAUCUUUGGUCCCAAAAUCAUACUAUGGCCAACAUCAAGUUAUCUGCUCCAAAUCUCAAAGUUUUCAUAUGCAGUUCUUCCGCAGAAAGUGAUAAAGAUGAGAAUGCAGAAACCUUUUCAAAAUUGCCUUCGGAGGAGAAAGAGGUAUAUGCUAAACGUAUGAUGAUAUUUCUAGAAGCGGUUUAUAUUGUGCAACAGAUGAGAUUAUAACCUGGAUUCCUGGAGGUUCUCUCACAAGCUACAGACUUAUUAGACUGUCAACCAACUCGCUUAUGUAAUCUAUGUCAUUUGAUGCUGGAUAUGUGGUCUGUAAGAGGUUGUUUGCGAGCUAUAGCAUACUUACUCAAGAUUUCUCCUAAUAUAACUUUUAUUUGGUUAGUACUUGAAUCCAAAGAGUCAAAUUUAGCGGACGUUGGAGAUGACUGGGAAGCAGGAUUGUCAUCGCCGGAAAUGUUGUCUCGACUCAAGUCUGUCCAGAUUGAAAAAGCAGAAGGAUGUGAUGCUGAGCUCAAACUUCUGAGUUUUUUGUUGAAAAAUGCAAAGGUUUUGGAGGAAGUUGCUCUAUUCUUUCGUUCUAGUGUUGGCUCGCCUGAUAGAGUGAAACAAGUGAGACAAUUUAGAGGUAAGCUAAGAGCACUUCCAACAGCCUCUUCAAAAAUCAAAAUAAUGUUGCUCUGACCAAUUCAUAGUAACAAUUUAAAGAUUCUGAUGUAUGUGCUGUCGUACUCGAACAUGAAAAGACCGGACUUCCUUUGCUAGAUCUAGUAGUUAAGGCUUCUUCCAUUAGUUUUUUUUUUGUUUUCCGGUGAUGUCUUCUUCUGUCAAAAACAAUGAUUAAAAUGUUUAUUAGGGACUUCGUAAAAUGCC